CGUGAGUGAAGAAGGCUUUCGGGUCGUAAAGCUCUGUCAAGUGGGAAAAAAGUCUGAUGAUCAAUAGUUGUCAGAUCUGAUGGUACCACUGGAGGAAGCACCGGCUAACUCCGUGCCAGCAGCCGCGGUAAUACGGAGGGUGCAAGCGUUGUUCGGAAUUACUGGGCGUAAAGGGCGUGCAGGCGGGUUGGUAAGUCAGAUGUGAAAGCCCUGGGCUCAACCCAGGAAGUGCAUUUGAAACUGCCAUCCUAGAGUAUGGGAGAGGAGAGUGGAAUUCCCAAUGUAGAGGUGAAAUUCGUAGAUAUUGGGAGGAACACCCGUGGCGAAGGCGACUCUCUGGACCAAUACUGACGCUGAGACGCGAAAGCGUGGGGAGCAAACAGGAUUAGAUACCCUGGUAGUCCACGCUGUAAACGAUGAGAACUAGGUGUAGCGGGUAUUGACCCCUGCUGUGCCGAAGUUAACGCAUUAA
rnacentral:rRNA from 1 species